rnacentral:lncRNA from 1 species
GCUUGGCACCUAACAAAAAUCAGUAUCAAAGAAAACAAGACUCAUAAGUGAAUUUUGCUAAAGAAGAUAAUGAAGAACCUGAUGAGGAAAUUGUGCAACUCAUGAUAACAACUAAUUGUAGAACUAGAGAAAGUGAUACCUAGUAUCUUGACUCUGGUUGCUCCAAUCACAUGACUGGGCACAAGGAAUAGUGAGUGAA